rnacentral:rRNA from 1 species
AGAGUUUGAUUAUGGCUCAGGACGAACGCUGGCGGCGUGCCUAACACAUGCAAGUCGUGCGCCCAGCACUCAGUCCUCAGUGAUCGGUAGCGGGGGACAGUAGAGCGUAAAGAAGGUAUUUUUAUAAAGCCCCGUUACUGGUUAGCGAGGACUGAGUGCUGGGAGCGGCGGACGGGUGAGUAACGCGUGGAUAACCUACCCGUAAGACCGGGAUAACACCGGGAAACUGGUGCUAAUACCGGAUACGCUCCUUGGGGGGCAUCCUUCGGGGAGGAAAGGGGGCCUCUGGCGCAAGCUCCUGCUUACGGAUGGGUCCGCGUCCCAUUAGCUUGUUGGUGGGGUAACGGCCUACCAAGGCGACGAUGGGUAGCCGGCCUGAGAGGGUGGUCGGCCACACUGGGACUGAGACACGGCCCAGACUCCUACGGGAGGCAGCAGUGGGGAAUCUUGCGCAAUGGGCGAAAGCCUGACGCAGCAACGCCGCGUGCGGGAUGAAGGCUCUCGGGUCGUAAACCGCUUUCAGCAGGGAUGAAAAUGACAGUACCUGCAGAAGAAGCCCCGGCUAAAUACGUGCCAGCAGCCGCGGUAAUACGUAUGGGGCAAGCGUUAUCCGGAUUCAUUGGGCGUAAAGCGCGCGUAGGCGGCUUGUUAAGUCAGGCGUGAAAUCCGGGGGCUCAACCCGCGGCUUGCGUCUGAAACUGGCAGGCUUGAGUCUGGUAGAGGAAAGUGGAAUUCCUGGUGUAGCGGUGAAAUGCGCAGAUAUCAGAGGAACACCAGUGGCGAAGCGGCUUUCUGGGCCACGACUGACGCUGAGCGCGAAAGCUAGGGGAGCGACAGGAUAGAUACCCUGUAGUC